AAUAUUGGACAAUGGGCGAAAGCCUGAUCCAGCCAUGCCGCGUGUGUGAAGAAGGUCNNNGGAUUNUCAAGCACUUUAAGUUGNGAGNAAGGGUUGUAGGUUAAUACCCUGCAAUUUUGACGUUACCAACAGAAUAAGCACCGGCUAACUCUGUGCCAGCAGCCGCGGUAAUACAGAGGGUGCAAGCGUUAAUCGGAAUUACUGGGCGUAAAGCGCGCGUAGGUGGUUCGUUAAGUUGGAAGUGAAAGCCCCGGGCUUAACCUGGGAAUUGCUUUCAAAACUGACGAGCUAGAGUACGGUAGAGGGUAGUGGAAUUUCCUGUGUAGCGGUGAAAUGCGUAGAUAUAGGAAGGAACAUCAGUGGCGAAGGCGACUACCUGGACUGAUACUGACACUGAGGUGCGAAAGCGUGGGGAGCAAACAGG
rnacentral:rRNA from 1 species